GUGCUACAAAAGUGCUGGAAUAUUACCUCAUCUUGCCUCCCGCAGGCAACAAUGUCUAUAGUUUCAGCUAUAAUUCUACAAGAUAACUUGAACAGAGCGAUCACUGUAGCUUUGCUUUCUCUCUUUCUCGCUAAGCUGUCAUUCAAAACACGAAAGCGAGCGCUACAUUUAAAAACAAAACAUUGAAGCAGUGGUUGAAUGGUUACAACAGCAAAAGCUGUUGCGGCACAAAUUUCAUGCACCAAACCCGUCCUGGAGAACAUGCAUCUGGAACACCAGUGAAACGAUUAAUUAUGAUAUAUUACGGCUAAACUGAGGAGGAUAAAUAUAAUGCUGUUGCUGCCACACUUUCUCCCUCAUUAUAACGUAUGAAAAUCCCGGCCGGUGAUGUUAACGAAUUGAAUGAGAAGGAUGCUUCGAAUGAUGAUGGUAUUACCAGAGUUGAAUGAUCAGUUUAUCGUCUU